CCUGGCAUGCUGCAGUCCAUGGGGUCUCAAAGAGUCGGACAUGACUAAGCAACUAAACUGAACUGAACUGAGCAUGCAUGGACUCUGAUAACUGGUUGGAUUCUUGCCGGUUGUGUAGACGUGACUGUCUCUCCUUCCAGAGUCCCCUUCACCCUUUCUCUUUUAGGAUCUUAGGUUUGGGGCCCGCUUUUGUUGUUUGCAUUUUGUAACCACCUUCGCUGACAAAUCUAAACAGAGCUCUUUGAAGAAGGCAGCUGGCAAUAGGGAAUUCUCCCCGGAAAGAGCAAGUGUUUCAGGAGUCAGAGCAUGGUGGGGCAGCUCCCAUGGCAUGCAGCACGCCUGCCUGAGGACCUGCAGUCCUGAGGGAGAUAGACACGACUAUCCCAACAUCUACGGGGGUCUAAGAAGGUGGUUGCAGUAGAUCUUCUAGAUAGGAGAUGAAGGACACUCUCUCUCCUUAAUAUCAGUACAGUUCACUUCCCUGUGGAGAGCUUGUGUCUGGAUUGUGAAUGCUGAGAAUGAAACAGAGGGGCGAGAACUUUCAUUUGUAAUAAAGUUAAAAGUGCUCUCUGAGUUUAAAUGACACUUCACAUAUUACCAAUCAAGUUCACAUUCAUGACCCCCUUUAAUCCUUACAAUAGCCCUGUGAGAGCAGUUGUAAUCCUGUGAGGUAUUAUCAUUCCCAUUUUAAAGACAGGGAAACUGAGGUUUAAAAAAUGUGUAGGUGAUUUGUCCAAUGUCAUAAGGCUGAUACAUGGUGGAGAUGAGACAAAGACCUGUUUCUUCUAUCUGCAAGUUCAGGGGGCUUCACAGAUGACAUUUUUUACUUUUCAUGGGUGAGAUGUUAAUUAACAGUAAAUUCAAAGGUUGAUUAGAACUUGAGACUUCUAGUGGGAAUCCCCUUACAUUCCUGGUAGCAUCAUUAUUUACCUCUUCUCCGAGAAUCAUAAACCCAGGCUAACAGCAUCUAAUCUGUUCUCAGCACAAGACUGUAAGCUGAUAUCAUAGCAGAUGAUGAAUGAAGAUGGAAGAGAUAUAUUAAAAGACUCACUGGGGAUGAUUUGAAGUUAGGGAUACGGGAACUGCCUUUCUAGGCCUCCAGAGUGGCUUCAACCAGCAUUUAUGGAGGAGCCCCAGGUUUCUUGCCCAGAUACACAGAGAAAUUUCAAACAAAAGGACCCUGACUGAAAUGUAGAGAAUGGAUCAAGGUAGAGCAAGACCAAGAAGGCAGGAGCCUGUUUGUAAGGAUGUUACCAAAAUUGGGGCAUGAGAUGUGUGGUGGAACGAGGUGAGGAGACUGAAACUCGGUUAACAAGCUUCCCAAGGUCACACAACUGGUUGAUUUUCCAAGACUUUUCCUUUGUGAGCGCUUGAUGUCUCAUGCACUUGUGAGUGAGUGUGGGCGAGAUGGUAUUCAAUGGGAUCUGCUUUGAAGACGUCAGUUCAGUUCACUUCAGUUCAGUCACUCAGUCGUGUCCGACUCUUUGCGACCCCAUGAAUCGCAGCACGCCAGGCCUCCCUGUCCAUCACCAACUCCCGGAGUUCACUCAGACUCA